AGCAGCCGCGGCAAUUCCAGCUCCAAUAGCGUAUAUUAAAGUUGUUGCAGUUAAAAAGCUCGUAGUUGAAUUUCGGGAUCGACGGGUCGGUCGCGCCUCCGGUGUGUAUUGGCCCUGUCGGUUUCUCCCUUCUGACGAACCACGAUGUCAUUAAUUUGAUGUCGUGGGAAAUCAGGACUGUUACUUUGAAAAAAUUAGAGUGUUUAAAGCAGGCAUUCGCUUGAAUACAUUAGCAUGGAAUAAUGAAAUAGGACGUUUGAUCUUAUUUUGUUGGUUUCUAAGAUCGACGUAAUGAUUAAUAGGGAUAGUUGGGGGCAUUAGUAUUCAAUUGUCAGAGGUGAAAUUCUUGGAUUUAUUGAAGACUAACUACUGCGAAAGCAUUUGCCAAGGAUGUUUUCAUUAAUCAAGAACGAAAGUUAGGGGAUCGAAGACGAUCAGAUACCGUCGUAGUCUUAACCAUAAACUAUGCCGACUAGGGAUCGGAUGAUGUUAAUUUUUAAUGACUCAUUCGGCGCCUUAA
rnacentral:rRNA from 1 species